CCUACGGGAGGCAGCAGUAGGGAAUAUUGCUCAAUGGGGGAAACCCUGAAGCAGCAACGCCGCGUGGAGGAUGAAGGUUUUCGGAUGGUAAACUCCUUUUGUUAGAGAAGAUAAUGACGGUAUCUAACGAAUAAGCACCGGCUAACUCCGUGCCAGCAGCCGCGGUAAUACGGAGGGUGCAAGCGUUACUCGGAAUCACUGGGCGUAAAGAGCGCGUAGGCGGGGUAGCAAGUCAGAUGUGAAAUCCUAUGGCUUAACCAUAGAACUGCAUUUGAAACUGUUAUUCUAGAGUAUGGGAGAGGUAGGUGGAAUUCUUGGUGUAGGGGUAAAAUCCGUAGAGAUCAAGAGGAAUACUCAUGGCGAAGGCGACCUGCUAGAACAUAACUGACGCUGAUGCGCGAAAGCGUGGGGAGCGAACAGGAUUAGAUACCCGUGUAGUC
rnacentral:rRNA from 1 species